AUUGAACGCUGGCGGCAGGCCUAACACAUGCAAGUCGAACGAGUGGCGGACGGUUUCGUAAUGUCUGGGAAACUGCCUGAUUGAGGGGUAUAACUACUGGAAACGGUAGCUAAUACCGCAUACCAUCAGCUGUGCCCAUAUGGGAUUAGCUAGUUGGUGGGGUAACGGCUCACCAGGGCGACGAUCCCUCGCUGGUAUGAGAGGCUGACAAGCCAAAUGGGAACUGAGACACGGUCCAGAUGCCUACGGGAGGCAGCAGUGGGGAAUAUUGCACAAUGGGCGCAAGCCUGAUGCAGCCAUGCAGCGUGUAUGAAGAAGGCCGUCGGGUUGUAAAGUACUUUCAGCGGGGAGGCGUUACCAGCAGAAGAAGAACCGGCUAACUCAGUGCCAGCAGCCGCGGUAAUUC
rnacentral:rRNA from 1 species